rnacentral:rRNA from 1 species
GAUGAACGCUGGCGGCGUGCCCAAUACAUGCAAGUCGAGCGAACAGACGAGGAGCUUGCUCCUCUGACGUUAGCGGCGGACGGGUGAGUAACACGUGGAUAACCUACCUAUAAGACUGGGAUAACUUCGGGAAACCGGAGCUAAUACCGGAUAAUAUAUUGAACCGCAUGGUUCAAUAGUGAAAGACGGUUUUGCUGUCACUUAUAGAUGGAUCCGCGCCGCAUUAGCUAGUUGGUAAGGUAACGGCUUACCAAGGCAACGAUGCGUAGCCGACCUGAGAGGGUGAUCGGCCACACUGGAACUGAGACACGGUCCAGACUCCUACGGGAGGCAGCAGUAGGGAAUCUUCCGCAAUGGGCGAAAGCCUGACGGAGCAAUGCCGCGUGAGUGAUGAAGGUCUUCGGAUCGUAAAACUCUGUUAUUAGGGAAGAACAAAUGUGUAAGUAACUAUGCACGUCUUGACGGUACCUAAUCAGAAAGCCACGGCUAACUACGUG